rnacentral:rRNA from 1 species
GAUGAACGCUGGCGGCGUGCCUAACACAUGCAAGUCGAACGACCCCUUCGGGGGUAGUGGCAGACGAGUGAGUAACGCGUGGGAAUCUACCCCAGACACAGGGAUACCUGGCCGAAAGGUUAGUUAAUACCUGAUAUUCUCGCAAGAGAAAAGCUCCGGCGGUUUGGGAUGAGCCUGCGUCCUAUCAGCUUGUUGGUGAGGUAAUGGCUCACCAAGGCUAUGACGGGUAGCUGGACCGAGAGGUUGACCAGCCACGAUGGGACUGAGACACGGCCCAUACACCUACGGGUGGCAGCAGUGAGGAAUCGUGCGCAAUGGACGAAAGUCUGACGCCGCGACGCCGCGUGAAGGAAGAAGCUUCUCGGAGUGUAAACUUCUUUUCCAUAGGACGAUUAUGACGGUACUAUGGGAAUAAGCCACGGCUAACUUCGUGCCAGCAGCCGCGGUAAUACGAGGGUGGCAAGCGUUAUCCGGAUUUAUUGGGCGUAAAGAGCGCGUAGGCGGUUUCACCAGUCUUAACAUAAAUCUCAUUGCCUAACAAUGAACCUUGUUAAGAUACUGUGGAACUCGUGGAUGGCAGGGGCAAGCGGAAUUCCCGGUGUAGGGGUAAAAUCCAUUGAUAUCGGGAGGAACACCAAUGGCGAAGGCAGCUUGCUAGGUCAUUUCAGACGCUAAGGCGCGAAAGCGUGGGGAGCGAACGGGAUUAGAUACCCCGGUAGUCCACGCCGUAAACGAUGCUGACUAGCUAUAGGGAGUAUCGACCCUUCUUGUAGUGAAGCUAACGCGUUAAGUCAGCCACCUGGGGAGUACGGUCGCAAGACUAAAACUCAAAGGAAUAGACGGGGGCUCGCACAAGCGGUGGAACAUGAGGUUUAAUUCGACGAUAAGCGAAGAACCUUACCAGGGUUCACCCUAUUAGAACCCCACGGAAACGUGGGGGUGCCUUCGGGAGCUAAUAGGUCGGUGAUGCACGGUUGUCGUCAGCUCGUGCCGUGAGGUGUCCCGUUAAGUCGGUCAACGAGCGCAACCCUUACUCUGUGUUGCUUCGGUGUCACGCCGAAGAUCUCACUGAGGACUGCCUCGCCUAUUGAGCGGGGAGGAAGGUGGGGAUGACGUCAAAUCAGCGUGUCCCUUAUGCCCUGGGCAACACUCGUGUUACAAUGGUCAGCAACAACGGGUUGCAAGUCCGCGAGGACAAGCUAAUCCCUGAAAUCUGACCCCAGUUCGGAUUGUAGGCUGAAACUCGCCUGCAUGAAGCCGGAAUCGCUAGUAACCGUGGAUCAGAACGCCACGGUGAAUACGUUCUCGAGCCUUGUACUCACCGCCCGUCAAGUGAGCCGAGUCAGCAAUGCCCGAAGUACCCCAGUAGGGGUACCACGGCAGGGUUGGCGAGGAGCGCU